rnacentral:lncRNA from 11 species
AGACACUGGCACCAUUUGUAAAACUUCCAUGAUGCCAAGCACUGAGCUAUGAUCGUCAAGGUGAUGCCAAACUGCAUUAAUACUAUAGUAGAGAUGCACCCUAAAUCAUUUUGGUCUAUACAUAGUCAUUUAUAAGUAGCUUCAUUAGGAUGCAUUUAGUGCAGAGUAAUGGUGUAAAACUUAGAUGGUAGGAUUGAGAGAGAAUCCACUAUCUGGAACUCACCAGUUGAGCUUGAACUUUUGUCUUGCCUAUCUCACAGGUCUGUUGUAAGAAUAAAAUGGAGAGAAGGAUUAUUGUGUAUAUUGCCCCAAACUCAUGGGAAUAAAUAUUUGUUAGGUAAAUAAUUAAAUAAAUAGUUAUGUCCUCCUCAAAGAAAUAUUCUGUAUGAAAUUUAUAAGAAAAAUCAGAUUAUGCAGACAGGUAUGUUGUUGUUAUUAAUAAAUGUUGGACCUGAUCACAUCCUAGAGAAUAUUUCCAGGGUAUUUCCAUUAUUGUUUUAGAAUCAGUGCGCAGAUUGUAAAGAAUCCAAACAACAUUCUGUCAUUUACCACUUUUUUAUUAGAAGAGAAAUGGCAUUUUACCAAACCACAGGGCUGAUUCACAAAUAAAACAUUUCUGUAUCCACUUCCUGCUGCUAUGUUAGCAGAACAUAACAUAGUUUCGUGCAGCUGUUUUAGCAGAGCAUUUGAUAAACCUGAUGCUCUCAAAGCUUGGGAAAGGAAAGGAGGGGAAAGAGGAAUAAGAGUAUGAUCUGAUGAAAAAAGAAAACUUGUUCCCAUUCAUCUUUUUAUGUGCCUGGUUGAAAACACAAAUCAAAGUGUCAGUGAGUUCCUGAAUCUCAAAUCAGCACUGCAGAUUCCAAAAAAAAAUCCCCCAAAACCCAAAACCAAAGAACAACCCACAACAAUUUCCAGAUGAAUCAGAGAAUGCCUCAAAUAGUAGAUAGACACGUUGUAGGACAUUUUUCUCUUCUCCGUGCAUUCACCAGGGCUAGUCCUAUCCCAGGUGUCUUGUCAGAUAAUUUAGGGCCCUUCCAGACAGGCCCUAUAUCCCAGGAUCCGAUCCCACGUUUUCUGCUUAUUCCAGAUUAUC